CCUACGGGUGGCAGCAGUGAGGAAUAUUGGUCAAUGGGCGUAAGCCUGAACCAGCCAAGUCGCGUGAGGGAUGAAGGUUCUCUGGAUCGUAAACCUCUUUUAUAAGGGAAUACAGUGCGGGACGUGUCCCGUUUUCUAUGUACCUUAUGAUUAAGGAUCGGCUAACUCCGUGCCAGCAGCCGCGGUAAUACGGAGGAUCCGAGCGUAUCCGGAUUUAUUGGGUUUAAAGGGUGCGUAGGCGGCCUUUUAAGUCAGCGGUGAAAGUUUGGGGGUUAAACAUAGAAUGGCCGUUGAAACUGGGUGGCUUGAGUGGGUGUGGGGAGGGUGGAAUGCGUGGUGUAGCGGUGAAAUGCGUAGAUAUCACGCAGAACCCCGAUGGCGAAGGCAGCCGGCCAAGCCAUGACUGACGCUGAUGCACGAAAGCGUGGGGAUCAAACAGGAUUAGAUACCCGGGUAGUC
rnacentral:rRNA from 1 species